rnacentral:lncRNA from 1 species
GUCUUAGUUGCAACAUGCAGGAUCUUUCCAUGCGGCGUAUGGGCUUCUCUCUAGUUGUGGCACGUGGGCUCCAGAGCAUGCGGGCUCUCUAGCUGAGGUGCAUGGGCUCAGUAGUUGUGGCAUGCGGUCUUAGUUGCCCCGCAGCAUGUGGGAUCUUAGUUCGCUGACCAGGGAUCGAACCAGCGUCCUGCUGCAUUGGAAGGCGGAUUCUUUACCACUGGACCACCAGGGAAAUCCCUCUUUAAAAUUUUUUAAUGCUGGAUGUCAGGUACUUUUCUCAACCACGUGGUAAUCCUUACUUUCAGUCAUGAGUUAGAGCCUGCCGACUGAUGGAUUUCAGAAGCAAUCUUUUCUCUAGGACACCCCCAGAUUUCUAUUCUCUUUGCUCUUUAGUUUCUCCUUAGAGGACUCCUCCAGUUUCCUGCCUGUGAAGGUUAUGUGUUGAGUUGCUGGAGACUGGUACCAGGAUAGGGAAAGAAGCUUAAGAAGAUUUCAGACUGUGGUUAUUACUCAUUCUAACUGUGUCUGUCUGCCCUUCUUUGUGCAUCCUCUACAUCUUCUCAAAAUCAAUUUAUCCAGAGAUCAAAUGUAUUUUUUAGACAAGGGAGAAAAGUUAACUGUAGAGGGGGAAGAUCAGGGCAAUGAGUUUGUGUAUAAAUUUUCAACCAGUCCUCUACUUCCAGAUCCAUAGCUCACCAAGGUCCUUUUCUGUGGAACCUGGGCCCUUCAGGGAAGUUGUAAAUUGGUCAUAAUCUCUUUCAUACCAGAGUUCCUUGAAUUUUCUUAUUUUUUGUAGUUUUGUCUUCACAUUUGUUGUUGUCAUUGUUAUUUUCAUCUCUUUUUGGAUAGUGAUGGGAAAUAAAUGCAUGUGACCUACUCACUGUAUGUAAGCAAAAGUCUACCCUUGCUCUUUUCAAAUGACAAGAUUUUGGUCAUUUUUUAAAAAACUAGUUUUGGUUGUACAGUUGACCCUUGAAAUACACUGGGGUUGGGGCCCUGACCCUCUGUACAAUUGAAAAUUUGUGUAUAACUUUACAGUUGGUCUUCCAUAUUCACAUCCUAGGUCCCACAUCUGAGGAUUCAAUCAACUGCAAAUAAUGUAGUACUAUAGCACGUAUUUAUUGAAAAAAUCC